AUGCCGUCGUCGCCGCCCGGGGCGUCGAGCGACGCGGUGCCGCCGUGGCUGAGGGCCCUGCCGCUGGCGCCGGAGUUCCGCCCCACGGCGGCCGAGUUCGCGGACCCCGUCGCCUACCUGCUCAGGAUCGAGCCCGCCGCGGCGCCCUUCGGCAUCUGCAAGGUCGUGCCGCCCUGCGCGCGCCCGCCCCGCAAGGCCACCCUCGCCAACAUCGCCCGCUCCCUCGCCGCCAACGACAAGGCCGACGCCGACGACCACGCGCAGCCCCCGUCCUUCCCCGUCCGCCACCAGUACCUCGGCCUCUGCCCGCGCCGCCCGCGCCCAGCGCUCCAGACCGUCUGGCUCUCCGCGCGCCGCUACACGCUCCCGCAGUUCGAGUCCCGGGCCGCCGCCGCGCGCGGCCCGCUCCUCGCCCGCCUCGGCGUCCCCGCCUCCAGGCACCUCCAGGGCGACCGCCUCUCCCCGCUCGACCACGAGGCGCUCUUCUGGCGCGCCGCCUCCGCCGACCGCCCCGUCACCGUCGACUACGCCAGCGACAUGCCCGGCUCCGGCUUCCCCCCCUGCGCCGCGCGCCCCGGAAACCCCCAGCCCGCGCACGUCGGGGAGACGGCCUGGAACAUGCGCGCCGCCGCCAGGGGCCCCGGAUCGCUGCUGCGGUUCAUGCGCGAGGACGUGCCUGGGGUCACCACGCCCAUGCUCUACGUCGGCAUGCUCUUCAGUUGGUUCGCCUGGCACGUCGAGGACCACGACCUCCACAGCCUCAACUACAUGCACCUCGGCGCCGCCAAGACCUGGUACGGGGUGCCGCGCGACGCCGCGCUCGCCUUCGAGGACGUCGUGCGCGUGCACGGCUACGCCGGGGAGGUGAACGCCCUAGAAGCAUUCGCGACGCUGGGGCAGAAAACGACCCUGCUGUCCCCUGAAUUGCUCGUCGGCUCGGGGGUGCCCUGCUGCAGGUUGGUGCAGAAUGCAGGGGAGUUCGUGGUCACCUUCCCAGGAUCAUAUCACUGCGGUUUCAGCCAUGGUUUCAACUGCGGUGAGGCAUCAAAUAUAGCUACUCCUGAAUGGUUGAGAGUAGCGAAAGAGGCAGCAGUCAGGAGAGCCUCAAUCAAUCAACCUCCCAUGCUGUCGCACUAUCAACUGCUUUACGAACUUGCACUGUCAAUGUGCAUCAGGGACCCGUCCAUUGGGACAAUGGAACCACGCAGUUCUAGACUGAAGGAGAAGAAGAAGGGUGAAGGGGGACAAUUGGUCAAGAAGUUAUUUGUCCAAAAUGCUAUUCAAGAUAAUGAACUGCUUAGUUGUCUUCUGAAUGAUGGAUCUUCUUGUAUUAUUCUUCCUAUAAAUGCUCAUGAUGGUCCUGUUCUUUCAGCUUUGCGUUCAAGAUCCCAAUUAAUACCUAAAUCCAAGUUGUCAAGAUGUACACAUGAUUCACAUAAUGCAGAAGGUGACAAGGAGGAUGUAAUCAGUGCUGCUGGGCUCUUAGAUCAGGGCUUAUUAUCCUGUGUCAGCUGUGGGAUUUUAAGUUUCUCCUGUGUUGCUGUCAUCAAACCAAGAGAGUGUGCAUCAAAAUACUUCAUGUCUUCUGAUUAUAAUUCGAUCAAUGAUCAGCUUGUUGGUUCUGGUGGGAGUCAUCUGGCUAAUGCAGCUGGAAGUGAAGGGACCAAUGGUGGCAUUCUACGACCCAGUUUUGAACCAUAUGCCAAUGAUGCUGGACCUGUCACUAGAAAUUCUGCUCCUGAUCUUCUGGCAUCUGCUUAUGGAAAUCAACCGGACACUGAUGAAGAUAAUCGGAACAAAAAAAUUAAGGUCUCUCAUGACUCCAGCGAAUUAGACGGAACGAAGAUUCUCUCAAGUAGCAUUAAAUGCCAACAAAGACCAUCAUCCCAGAGCUCUCAGUGUAUUGGUGGCUCAGGUAUUUCGAAUGGACCAAGAGGUGUUCGCACAAGAAACAAAUAUCAACUUAAGAUGGCACUGUCUCAAGGUUUUCAGCUAAAGAAUAAUUAUUGGACAAUGGAACAGAAGGUUCAACCUGAACCGUCAAGGUCAAAAGAGACUGUGAAGGAGCCACUUGAUGCCAGCGGUGCAGAUAAUGAUGCUAGAUGUAACAGCGCUGCAAUCUCUGUGGGUGACCCUAGGAUCUCUACAACCACGAUGGACAACUUAAAUAAACCAAUUGUGAAAAUUGAUAAGGAUUCAUCGAGAAUGCAUGUAUUUUGUCUUGAGCAUGCUGUCGAGGUUGAGAAGCAACUCCAAGCAAUUGGUGGGGCCCAUGUUAUUCUUUUAUGUCGUCCAGAAUAUCUUAAAAUAGAAGCAGAAGCAAGGUCGUUAGCUGCAGAAAUGGAAGUUGAGCAUGGCUGGAAGGACAUCCAUUUCAGGGAAGCCAACAUGGAGGACAGGAAGAUGAUAGAAGAGCUCCUGCAGGAUGAGGAAUCAAUACCAACAAGCAGUGAUUGGGCUGUAAAGCUGGGAACCAAUCUUUACUACAGUGCAAAUCUGGCCAAAUCUCCUUUACAUAACAAACAAAUACCAUACAACAGGGUCAUCUAUAGGGCAUUUGGCUGCAGUUCUCCUGACAACUCACCAGUAAAACGGGAAAAUUGCGAGGGGAGUCAAGACAGGCAGAAGAAAGUAGUCUUGGCUGGCCGGUGGUGUGGGAAAGCAUGGAUGUCAAACCAGGUCCAUCCAUUCCUAGCUCAGAGAAUUGAAAGCAGUGAAGCGAAGGAGGCUGACAAGUCUAGUGGAGUGCAAGCCUCGAAAAGAAAUAGUGGCACCAUAACAGAUGUACCAAAAUCAAGCAAGAAAAGGGGGAACAUGGCUGUGGAGGUAACAAUAGACACCAAGAGGCCCAGACUAGCUGAGGGGCACAGCUCGAAACCAUUAAAAGGUAUUGCUGAUGUGUCCCACCCCUCGCCAGCUGCAGUGGUUCCUCGUGUCAGCUCUAGGAUUGCCGAUAGAGCAAACAGGCUAAAAUCAGAUAUGACAGAGGAGGAUGAUGGUCAUGCUUGCCGUCCAAAGCCAAAGGCUACCUCCCAUUCGCGAACAAGGCCACCAAAGAAGAUUGAGGUUGAAGCAAAGAAGCAAAUGAACAUGAGUAAAGGAGACAGCAAGAUGAUGGCUCCAACUGCUGCAAAGGAUGAUGAGGAGCACCCAUCUGCCACCAAGGGGGGUCCUUCUGUGGGCCCUGCCACUAAGCUGGAGUUUUCUCAGCGUAAGCACAGAACCAGAACCAAAACGAUGAAGCUACUGAAGAAAGCCACAGGAGAGGAGAGGACUCCAAGAGAUCAUCCAAUGCACGUCGAAGGGUACACAUGCAGCAUCGAGGGCUGUUCGAUGAGCUUCGACACGAGAAAUGAACUGUCCCUGCAUGAGCUCGACAUCUGCCCGGUCAAGGGCUGUGGAAAGAAGUUCUUCACGCACAAGUUUCUGCUGCAGCACCACAAGGUUCACACCGAAACGACGAAGCAACUGAAGAAAGCUACAGGAGAGGAGAGGGCUCCAACUCCAAGAGAUCAUCCGAUGCGCGUGGAAGGGUACACUUGCACUAUCGACGGCUGCUCAAUGAGCUUCGACACGAAAAAGGAACUGUCCCUGCACGAGCGUGACAUCUGCCCGGUCGAGGGCUGUGGGAAGAAGUUCUUCACGCACAAGUAUCUGCUGCAGCACCGCAAGGUUCACACCGACGACCGGCCGCUCAAGUGCCCGUGGGAGGGCUGCGACGUGGCCUUCAAGUGGGCAUGGGCCAGGACGGAGCACCUCAGGGUUCAUACCGGCGACAGGCCCUACGUUUGCUGCGAGCCAGGGUGUGCAGAGACGUUCAGGUUUGUAUCAGAUUCCAGCCGUCACAAGCGCGAGACAGGCCACUCAACCAAGCAGACUAAAACCAAGACAUGA
rnacentral:rRNA from 1 species